UUAAAUUGAAGAGUUUGAUCAUGGCUCAGAUUGAACGCUGGCGGCAGGCCUAACACAUGCAAGUCGAACGGUAACAGGAAACAGCUUGCUGUUUCGCUGACGAGUGGCGGACGGGUGAGUAAUGUCUGGGAAACUGCCUGAUGGAGGGGGAUAACUACUGGAAACGGUAGCUAAUACCGCAUAAUGUCGCAAGACCAAAGAGGGGGACCUUCGGGCCUCUUGCCAUCGGAUGUGCCCAGAUGGGAUUAGCUAGUAGGUGGGGUAACGGCUCACCUAGGCGACGAUCCCUAGCUGGUCUGAGAGGAUGACCAGCCACACUGGAACUGAGACACGGUCCAGACUCCUACGGGAGGCAGCAGUGGGGAAUAUUGCACAAUGGGCGCAAGCCUGAUGCAGCCAUGCCGCGUGUAUGAAGAAGGCCUUCGGGUUGUAAAGUACUUUCAGCGGGGAGGAAGGGAGUAAAGUUAAUACCUUUGCUCAUUGACGUUACCCGCAGAAGAAGCACCGGCUAACUCCGUGCCAGCAGCCGCGGUAAUACGGAGGGUGCAAGCGUUAAUCGGAAUUACUGGGCGUAAAGCGCACGCAGGCGGUUUGUUAAGUCAGAUGUGAAAUCCCCGGGCUCAACCUGGGAACUGCAUCUGAUACUGGCAAGCUUGAGUCUCGUAGAGGGGGUAGAAUUCCAGGUGUAGCGGUGAAAUGCGUAGAGAUCUGGAGGAAUACCGGUGGCGAAGGCGGCCCCCUGGACGAAGACUGACGCUCAGGUGCGAAAGCGUGGGGAGCAAACAGGAUUAGAUACCCUGGUAGUCCACGCCGUAAACGAUGUCGACUUGGAGGUUGUGCCCUUGAGGCGUGGCUUCCGGAGCUAACGCGUUAAGUCGACCGCCUGGGGAGUACGGCCGCAAGGUUAAAACUCAAAUGAAUUGACGGGGGCCCGCACAAGCGGUGGAGCAUGUGGUUUAAUUCGAUGCAACGCGAAGAACCUUACCUGGUCUUGACAUCCACAGAACCUUGUAGAGAUACGAGGGUGCCUUCGGGAACUGUGAGACAGGUGCUGCAUGGCUGUCGUCAGCUCGUGUUGUGAAAUGUUGGGUUAAGUCCCGCAACGAGCGCAACCCUUAUCCUUUGUUGCCAGCGGUCCGGCCGGGAACUCAAAGGAGACUGCCAGUGAUAAACUGGAGGAAGGUGGGGAUGACGUCAAGUCAUCAUGGCCCUUACGACCAGGGCUACACACGUGCUACAAUGGCGCAUACAAAGAGAAGCGACCUCGCGAGAGCAAGCGGACCUCAUAAAGUGCGUCGUAGUCCGGAUUGGAGUCUGCAACUCGACUCCAUGAAGUCGGAAUCGCUAGUAAUCGUGGAUCAGAAUGCCACGGUGAAUACGUUCCCGGGCCUUGUACACACCGCCCGUCACACCAUGGGAGUGGGUUGCAAAAGAAGUAGGUAGCUUAACCUUCGGGAGGGCGCUUACCACUUUGUGAUUCAUGACUGGGGUGAAGUCGUAACAAGGUAACCGUAGGGGAACCUGCGGUUGGAUCACCUCCUUACCUUAAAGAAGC
rnacentral:rRNA from 1 species